UACGGGGGGGGCAAGCGUUGUUCGGAAUUACUGGGCGUAAAGAGCGCGCAGGCGGUCGUGCAAGUCGCGUGUGAAAGCCCCCGGCUCAACUGGGGAGGGUCACGCGAUACUGCUCGACUCGAAGGCAGGAGAGGGAAGUGGAAUUCCCGGUGUAGUGGUGAAAUGCGUAGAUAUCGGGAGGAACACCAGUGGCGAAGGCGACUUCCUGGCCUGUUCUUGACGCUGAGGCGCGAAAGCUAGGGUAGCAAACGGG
rnacentral:rRNA from 1 species